AGCCCUAAGUGGGUGGUAAACUCCAUCUAAGGCUAAAUAUGACCACGAGACCGAUAGCGAACAAGUACCGUGAGGGAAAGUUGAAAAGCACUUUGAAGAGAGAGUUCAAGAGUACGUGAAACCGUUUAGGGGUAAACCUGAGAAACCCGAAAGGUCGAAGGGAGAAAUUCAUUCGCGGUUCGCCGUCGGCGUGAGACGGGGUCGUGUGACGGAGAGCGCGUUCGCGCGCGCUUUCCGCACCUUCCGUUUUUCGAUCCGAUGGCGUACGCGUGCACUUUUCUCCUGGUAGGACGUCGCGAUCCGUUGGGUGUCGGUCUACGGCUCGCGGUGGAGCCCGACCGUACGGCUUGCCGUUACGGUCGGACCCGCGUGUCCCGGCUGACUCGCUCGACGGUAUACGAAAGGUUUAAGGCCGCUCUCUGCUGAGAAGCGUUCGACUCGUGGCAAGCGCGUCAGAUGUGUCGGCGACCGGACCCGGUGCCGGUUCUGACCUCUGAUGACUGUUGGCCACGAACUGUUCUCGAACAGACCUCUAACCGAUCUGCGACGCUAUAGCUUUGGGUACUUUCAG
rnacentral:rRNA from 1 species